rnacentral:rRNA from 1 species
UACGUAGGGUGCAAGCGUUUGUCCGGAAUUAUUGGGCGUAAAGAGCGUGUAGGCGGCCUGAAAGGUCAGCUGUGAAAACUCGAGGCUCAACCUCGAGACGUCGGUUGAAACCAUCUGGCUAGAGUCCGGAAGAGGAGUGUGGAAUUCCCGGUGUAGCGGUGAAAUGCGCAGAUAUCGGGAGGAACACCGGUGGCGAAGGCGGUUCUCUGGGCCUGUACUGACGCUGAGGAGCGAAAGCGUGGGGAGCGAACAGG